rnacentral:siRNA from 1 species
AGGUCAUGAGAGGCCCACAUGAGC